rnacentral:rRNA from 1 species
CAAGGUUUUCCUUAGUGAACCUGCGGAGAGAUCAUUG